CACAUUAUUUUGUUUUUCUUUAAAGAACCAUCAGCUUCUGAUAUGGACGUGAAAGACUCAACAGAAUAAGUGUGUCAAGUCACUCACACUCAUGGUUGUCAUGGUGAUGAGACACUGACGGGGAAGCCAUCUUGAGUCGACCAUGGAAGAAGUUAAGAGAUUACAGAGAAAACAACUUUUUUUUUUCUCCCAGCGUAAAAGUCUUUUGUCACUUUAUGAAUGAAUAUUUUAAACUACCAACCUAUAGAAAAGUAAAACAUAGGCCAGUAUAAAUUUGGCUUAAUGAAUUUAAUGUUCACAAGACAUAUGCGUCAGAGCUUGUGCUGUACAUAUAAUUUUCGUUGAAUUUUUGUUUUCAUUAAUUAUUUAUUACCAACUGUAAAGGAUGUGAUUGUCUGGCUGUGAAUGUAAUUGAAAGAAUUAUUAAUUGUUAUAAUUUUUGUUCUGUCAUUUGAAAUA
rnacentral:sRNA from 1 species